CCUACGGGAGGCAGCAGUGGGGGAUAUUGCACAAUGGGGGGAACCCUGAUGCAGCGACGCCGCGUGGGUGAAGGAGUGCUUCGGCAUGUAAAGCCCUAUCGGCAGGGAAGAAGCAAGACGGUACCUGACUACGAAGCUCCGGCUAACUACGGGCCAGCAGCCGCGGUAAUACGCAGGGGGCGAGCGUUAUCCGGAUUCACUGGGUGUAAAGGGAGCGUAGACGGUGAUGCAAGCCAGGGGUGAAAGCCUGGGGCCGAACCCCGGGACUGCCCUUGGAACUGCAGGGCUGGAGUGCGGGAGGGGCAGGCGGAAUUCCAGGUGUAGCGGUGAAAUGCGUAGAUAUCAGGAAGAACACCAGCGGCGAAGGCGGCCUGCUGGACCGCGACUGACGUUGAGGCUCGAAAGCGUGGGGAGCGAACAGGAUUAGAUACCCGUGUAGUC
rnacentral:rRNA from 1 species